UUAUAUAAUAUGUCAACACUUAUUUUGUACGAGAAAAUAUGCAUGCAUAUUUCUAUUACGGAUUCUAAUUCAUUAGAAACAAUUUUGCAGACACAUUUCCAAAGAAUUGAGAGAACGGCCACUUAACAAAAAGGUGCAAUCACUUGCCAAUCAUGAGCAUUCUAAGAGCUCCAAAGACAAAAACGAUUCAUUUCACCAUGAUUACGAGGAUACAAUCAAAGGAAGCUCAACUAGAGACAUGACAAAAGAAGAGUUUGGUGUAUGCAAAAAUGAAAGAAACUUUUGGCAUUUAGAAAAUCAUUUAAUCUCUGAAUUUACUGCCUCAAGUAAUAGUUUAGACCUCCCCAUUUUUCACUCUAGUAGCCACACUCAUAUCAACCUGGACUUGACCAUCUCAUCAAGUUCUAGUUAAUGGAUACAUUAUAAAGUUUUGCUAUAUAUACAUCGGGGUUGAGACUAUGGUGUACACUUUCCUCACAAGAGAGAGCUCCACACUUUUUUUUAUUGGGAGUGUGCGCCUCUCUUGUAAGGAGAGUGUACACCAGAGUGUCAACCCCGGUGUACAACAAAUUCCUACUUUAUGUACACACCUCUAUUUUACAGACUAGUGGAAGUGGACUAUAUAUUUUUUUUCUUGUUAAUAUAUGGAUUCAGUUUUCAA